UAAUGGUUUGUGUGCAUUGUAAGAAAAAGAGCGAGGAUGAGAUAAAGAGAAAGAAAGAGAAAUUCCAAGAGAGUUUUCUUACCAUUGUAGUGCAUCAAGGAUAAAUGGCAACAGCAGUUAAUUGUAUUGCUCCAAAAACCAUCAUGAACCUUAUUAUGCUCAUUUCGGUUCUCUGCUUAUGCACGAAAUCAGUCGAAGUUGAAGCACAAGCUUCGCGUCUGCCUGCUGCAGAAGUUGAAGCACUAAAAGAAAUAGCAACACAAGUGGGAAAAAAAGACUGGAACUUCAGCAUAGAUCCAUGCAGCAAUGAUACAAAUUGGGCUACCCCAAAAUCUGCUGACUUGCCUUUAUACAACAACACUGUCAUAUGCAACUGCUCCUACCCUGAUGGUUUCUGCCAUGUUGUCAGCAUUUUUCUUAAAGGGCAAGAUCUUGCUGGUGUAGUUCCACCAUCGGCUGCAAAGUUACUCUACCUAACAAGAGUAGAUUUUACCAGGAACUACCUUACUGGUACUAUACCGCGUGAAUGGGCUUCUACAAAGUUGGAAUAUCUGUCCAUUACUGUGAACAAUUUAUCAGGACCAAUCCCUGGCUACUUGGGAAACAUAAGCACCCUAAUAUAUAUGAGCUUGGAGAAUAACAACUUUUCUGGAACUGUUCCUCCUGAGCUUGGGAAAUUGGUUAACUUGAACAAUCUCAUUCUUAGUGCAAACAAUCUCACAGGAGAGUUGCCACUGGCUCUUACUAAUCUGACUAAGUUAACAGAACUUAGGAUUAGCAGUAACAACUUCACAGGAAGAAUACCUGAUUUUAUUCAAAGCUGGAAGCAACUUCAGAAAUUAGAGAUCCAGGCUAGUGGUCUCCAAGGGCCCAUUCCGUCUAACAUUUCUGCCUUGAGUAAUUUAACAGAUCUAAGGAUCAGUGACAUAAAUGGAACGGGUUCAGAAUUUCCACCCUUGAGUAGUAUGACAGGCAUGGGAAGUUUAAUGCUGAGGAGCUGUAACUUAUCUGGACGCAUCCCCCCUUAUAUAUCAGCAAUGACAACAUUGAAAAUAUUAGAUCUCAGCUUCAACAGAUUGGAAGGAGACAUCCCUGAUUUAUUAGCGACCCUGACAAACUUGCAAUUUCAUAUGACCUGAUGGAAAACUGCUGAUAAGACUAUUUCAAUUUCAUUUAUCUACUCAAAUACUUGCUUUAAUCUGAUUACAAUUCAUGUGAUGCUGUUUCUUGGUUGUUACUGAAUAGAUCGGUACUCAUUACAUAUAAAUUGUGGUGGAAAGGCAACCACCAUUGGACGAAUUAACUUUGAAGGGGAUCCAGACCUAGGAGGUGCAGCAAAAUUUGUUCCUGUGAGACCUAUCUGGGGAAUCAGUACUACUGGACAUUUCUGGGAUGCUAACCCCACCUCUAAUGACUACAUAGCAAAUAAUGCAUCCACACUUGGAAUGAACAACUCUGAGUUGUACACAAGUGCACGCCUAUCUCCUCUUUCUCUCACGUAUUAUGCACGCUGUUUCGGAAAUGGAAACUAUACUGUGAGGCUUCACUUUUCGGAGAUAAUAAUCCGAGGCAAUAGAUCUUUUUACAGUCUUGGAAGACGGAUAUUUGAUAUCUAUAUUCAGGAGAAACUGGUGUGGAAGGAUUUUGACAUUGAAAAGGAAGCACAAGGGGUUGAUAAGGAGGUCAUUAAGGAACUUAAAGCAGUUGAGGUUAAGAACAAAACUUUAGAGAUCCGAUUUCAUUGGUCUGGGAAAGGGACAACAGCUUCUCCAAAGAGAGGAACAUAUGGUCCUCUUAUAUCAGCUAUCUCUCUAGAGUCUGAGUUCCCGCCUCCUCGUGAUAAGAAAAGCAAGGUACCUAUUGUGGUGGGAGCUUCAGUUGGAGCUUCGGUUUUAUGCCUCAUUUUCUUGAUUUUAGGCAUUCUUUGGUGGAAAGGCAGUCUGGAUAGCAAGACAUCAAGGGAAAAAGCUCUUAGAGAACUGGAUCUGCAAACUGGAUUUUUCACCUUCAGGCAAAUUAAAGCUGCCACUAACAACUUUGAUCUUAAAAACAAAAUUGGGGAAGGCGGUUUUGGGUCUGUCUACAAGGGUAUAUUGUUGGAUGGUACUAUAAUCGCAGUUAAGCAACUAUCUUCAAAAUCAAAGCAAGGAAACCGUGAGUUUGUCAAUGAAAUAGGCAUGAUUUCUGGUUUACAACAUCCGAAUCUUGUUAGAUUGUAUGGGUGCUGCAUUGAAGCAAAUCAACUACUGUUGGUAUAUGAAUACAUGGAAAACAAUAGCCUUGCACGUGCUUUGUUUGGUCCAGAGGAAGGUCCAUUAAAAUUGGACUGGCCUACAAGGCAGAAAAUAUGCUUGGGCAUAGCAAGAGGUUUGGCUUUUUUGCAUGAGGAAUCUGCACUGAAGGUUGUGCAUAGAGACAUCAAAACUACGAAUAUAUUACUGGACCAUGACCUUAGCCCUAAGAUCUCAGACUUUGGUUUGGCUAAGCUUGAUGAAGAGGAGAACACCCACAUUAGCACCAGAGUUGCUGGAACUAUAGGAUACAUGGCGCCUGAAUAUGCACUAUGGGGUUAUUUAACCUACAAAGCAGAUGUCUACAGCUUUGGUGUUGUUGCAUUGGAAAUUGUUGCUGGAAAGAACAACAUGAAAUAUCGACCAAAUGAGAAUUUUGUAUGCCUUGUGGAUUGGGCCCUUGUUUUGCAACAAAAAGGGAAUUUAAUGGACCUGGUAGAUCCAAGGUUGGGGUCCAAUUUCAGUAAGGAAGAGGCAAUUAGAAUGGUUAAAGUGGCUCUGCUAUGCACCAAUCCUGCACCAGCCCUUAGGCCUGCUAUGUCUGCAGUAGUGAGUAUGCUUGAAGGGAAGACUGCUGUUCAUGAACUGAUUAUGGAUCCAAGUAUUUAUGGUGAUGAAAUAAGGUUAACAGCUCUGAGAAACCAGUUUGAUCAGAUUGCACAAGAGAGCUCAACUGGAACUCAGAGCCUCAUUCGUUCAUCGGAUGCAACGUGGAUUGGUUCUUCUGCUACUGCUACUUCUUCAGAUCUCUACAAAAUCAAUCCUAGUUCUUAGUAAAUGUAUACCUUUUGUUGCCCAUGACGCACAAGCCCUUGUAUAAAGAUGCCUUCACUUCACUUUCCAAUACCAAAAACUUCAAUUACCUCUUACUUCAUUUAGGACCAGUUUGAUAACCAUUUCAGUUUUCAGUUUUUAUUUUUCAAUUUUCAAUUUUCAGUUUUCAUUUUUCAUUUUUCAUUUUUCAUAAACUGAAAACUGAAAACUUGUUUGGUAACUAAUUUUAAUUUUCAAAAAAAGUGAAAAGUGAAAACUAAACACAAGAUGUUCGGUAAUUGAUUUCAAUUUUCAGUUUUUAUUUUUAUGUGAAACUUGGAAAUGGAAGCUUUUAGGGUCCAAUUGUGAAUUUGAUAUCAUAGAAUGUAAGUGCCUGUUACAAGGAGUUCGUAGUAUUUUUCGGUGAGUUUUUAUGAAUUAUGAUGAUU